AAGGCAGCGGCGGAGCCUCAGCGAGCACAGAAAAACCGUGGGGAGACAUGAGAGGGAAAAGUUGCAGCCGGGGAUGGGGUUGGAAAGGCAAGAAGAGAGUCUCAGGUGGGGAAGGGUAGGGGGAAGCUGGAGCAGGGAUCUGGGCUGGAGGAAGCAGAGCGGGCCUGGACUGGGGACGAGGGAGGAUGGAUAAACAUGGCAGUGGGAAGAACGUGGCCCCUGGGGCAGGAGGAGGCCAUCCAUUCACCCUGGUGACCUCGUUAAACUCCCUGCCUUAGACUCAGGACAAGCAGAUGGGCAGGAUUCAUUUGUGUCCUGGGGCCGCUGUGGGACGGAGCUUGUCACAAGGCCUUUAGACUUCAUGAAGCUUCCACUGGAGGCUCAGCACCGUUGGGAUCUGUAGGGAGCAUCUGAAAGGACCCAUGUGAAGGGGUGCUGAGAGUUACUGUCUGUGGGGAGCGGGCACAUCUUCGGGCCCUGAGCUGCCUGAGGACAGAGCAGAGGAAGUGGGCUCAGUCGGCACCACACACCGCAGGAGGGGUGGGACUCGUGUGCCAACUGGCCUGUGGCUGCCAGCAUCUGAAAGGUGGUUGGAACUCUUCUAGAGAUGAUGUCCAGAGAUCUGAGAUUCCAAACCUUUCAAGGAUGUGGAUUCCUACAAAGAGGAGAUGAGGAGAUCAAGGGCUUUGGUGAAGGUGGUAGUGGGGGGAGAGCGUGGGAGGGGGGAGCCCAGGGAGAGGGUGGCAGACAGGAAGAAGCUAGACAGACAGGAGGUGUCUCUCCCCUCCCUGCCCCCAUCACUGUCCCAAAUUGCCCAUCCCUUUCUGUUCAGCUCCCCUCUGCAUCGCUGGUCAGGCACCAGAAGGGUGGACACCACGGGCCAGUGGUGUGGAUGAGAGGGAGGGAAGGGUCAUGAGUUAGCCUCCUGUGCACUUUUAAACCCCCUGUUCUCACUUCCUGCCGGUGCAAAAAUAACCCUGCCCCUCUGACUUAUCUCAGCAAAGACUGGUGCCCAGCCCGGCUCAGAGGGCAAUAGGACAGGUCCCAGAGGGUCACUGAGGACAAAAAGAGCCUGGACCCCCCAUACACACAUGGGGAGCUGCAGAACAGGGACUCGGGGGUGGGAGGAAAGUGUGUGUGUGGGGGGGGGCGUGGAGGCUGGGGUUGGAGGGGGCAGUUCCCAGGGUCUCUCUUUGCCCCUCAGUGCCUUGUGGCUGGGAUCUGCAUGUGCCCACCUGCAGCCAUCUGUGCUCCUGAAGCUGCCUGCUCACUCUUAUGUCUGGGGUCAGGUGUGUGUGUGUGAUGUGUAUGUGUGUGAAGGUGGGGGCUGUGCCUGCUGUGUGUGUUUCCUCCCCCACCAGCUGCCCGUGCCUCUGUGAACAUGCAUGUGUGUUACAGGCUGCAUUACACAUGGAUUUAUAUGUUCUAGGGAAUCUUGGUGCACACCCCUCAGUUUACUGGCACCUCCACGCGGCCUUGCAUGCGCACGUGUGUGUAGUGAUGUGCUCAUGUGACUGCAGCCGCAGGCAGGCUGAGGUUACUGAGCCUGUGUGGGCCCCCAAGUCCCCCCUUCUCCCUGGUGAAAUGAAAUCCCAGUGUCCCCGCUUUUCUGGGGCAGCCACUAUAUCUUUGCUUUACAUUCCCCCCAACCCCUGCCCCCCAAACCUGACCUCUCGCUGGAGGCGGGAGAAAGGAGAGGGCCCUUCCGCCCCUCCCCCACGUCUAGAGCCCUCCUUCCAUUUCCUGUUUGCCUCCUUUUUGGCAGUUUUUCCCAUCUUUGCCAUCUGGCCUGGCACUGUGCCCAUUCAGCUCCACUGAUGGGGAGCCCCAGGGAAGCAAGCAGAUGGGGUGGGGACCAAGGCAGGGGCCCGGCAGCUCUCAAGGCUCAGCUUGGGCCAUUUUGCGUGGUCUGUGGGAAAGGGGUGGACACACAAACCCACAGGCUUCUCAGAAAUAGAGCGAUGGCCAUCUGCUCUCCUGAAGGUGCCUAAUUCUACCUCUUAAGUAGCAACUCACCUAAUACAUGUUGAUCUCUUUAACACUGUAAUUUUGUGAACCAAAGACCUGGGAUCUUGGGAAAUAAUCAUUUGUUCACUUGUUCAGGGGCUAGUAGGUGCCUCCUGGCUAUAAGGGGCUAUUGAUUCUCCAGAGAAUGGUUAAGAAUGAUAAAAAUGUUACUGUAACUCUAGCCUAAACUGUUAUUGAAGUUUUAAUGCCAGCUGUUUGCAAACAAUCCUUUUCAAAGGGAUGUGGCCUUUCCCUGAGUUAUACAUGGGGACAGGAGUGUGAUAAGAAGUGGUUGGCUGACUGGGGUGAUCCAAGAAAUAUCACAACAGGGUUAUAGGCUGGGUAGACCUGGGGCGGGAGGGGACAGAUUUCCUGCCAGGCAGCCAAUGGCUGUCCCCAGGCACUGCUAAAUAGAGACUGCAGUGUGAGUGCAAUUGGGAAGAAAGCAGUAGAAGGUGUGGUCUCCACCCCCAAACCUAGGACCCUACCAUCUAGAUGGGGAAAUGCGGUAAAUACACAUGACACAGACUGAGACGUUCAAACCAGCCAACUAAGUGCUUCGAUAGGUCAGGGAAAAUCAUCAGGAAGGGCGCAUUUCCAUGUGUGUGAAGGGAGAUGGGUGAGUGUUACUAGUGUUUGACGUGGGAGAAAGAAGGAAAUGGGGUCUAAAACGUAUACGUCCAAUUGGACAAAUGAGGAAGUAAAAACAGUUCACCUGUGGGCACAGGUUUCAGACAGGCAGCUAUAAAAGACAGGUGCUCCGUGUGGCAGGCAGCCUCACACCCCCACGCCCACUCUUGUUGGAAGCAACUUGGACUCUGGAACCAGGAUGUCCUGAGUCCUGACUUUACUCCUCACUGUCUGAGCUCUUGAGUAAAAAUCAGGAGCAGCAGCUACCUCGAAGGGCUGCUGGAAGGAUUAGAGCUUGUGCGGUACACAACACCCUGGGGAGUCCCUUGCUGCCCCAGCAGGUUAGGGAUGGGGCGUCAUCACUUCUGUGGCUCUGGUUACUGCUGUGGCCUGGGUUCAAGCCCUGGCCCAGGAACUUCUGCAUGCCACAGGUGGCCAAAAAAAUCCUGGGAAUUAGCAGAUGCAAACUAUUAUAUACAGCAUGGGUAAACAAAAAGUUCUAUUGUACAGCACAGGGAACUCUAAUCAAUAUCCUGUGAUAAACCACAAUGGAAAAGAAUAUAUAUGUGUGUAAUAUGUAUAUUUAUAAAUAUAAAUAUAUAUAUAUAUAUAUCUGAAUCCCUUUGCUGUACAGCAGAAAUUAACACAACAUUGUAAAUCAACUAUACUUCAAUAAAAUAAA
rnacentral:lncRNA from 1 species